GCAGCCUGCAACUCGGCUGCAUGAAGCUGGAAUCGCUAGUAAUCGCAGAUCAGAAUGCUGCGGUGAAUACGUUCCCGGGUCUUGUACACACCGCCCGUCACACCAUGGGAGUUGGAAAUGCCCGAAGUCAGUGACCGAACCGAAAGGAAGGAGCUGCCGAAGGUGGAGCCGAUGACUGGGGUGAAGUCGUAACAAGGUAGC
rnacentral:rRNA from 1 species